rfam:Danio rerio chromosome 4, GRCz11 reference primary assembly.
GGCGCUGUGGCUUAGUUGGUCAAAGUGCCUGUCUAGUAAACAGGAGAUCCUGACUUUGAAUUCCAGCAGUGCCU